rnacentral:rRNA from 1 species
AAGAACCAACAGGGAUUGCCCCAGUAACGGCGAGUGAAGCGGCAACAGCUCAAAUUUGAAAUCUGGUCCCCAGGGCCCGAGUUGUAAUUUGCAGAGGAUGCUUUUGGUGAGGUGCCUUCCGAGUUCCCUGGAACGGGACGCCAUAGAGGGUGAGAGCCCCGUCUGGUUGGAUACCGAGCCUCUGUAAAGCUCCUUCGACGAGUCGAGUAGUUUGGGAAUGCUGCUCUAAAUGGGAGGUAUAUGUCUUCUAAAGCUAAAUAUUGGCCAGAGACCGAUAGCGCACAAGUAGAGUGAUCGAAAGAUGAAAAGCACUUUGAAAAGAGGGUUAAAUAGUACGUGAAAUUGUUGAAAGGGAAGCACUUAUGACCAGACUUGGCCCCGGUGAAUCAUCCAGCGGUUCCCGUUGGUGCACUUUGCCGGGGUUCAGGCCAGCAUCAGUUCGCUCCGGGGGAUAAAGGCUUUGGGAAUGUGGCUCCCUCGGGAGUGUUAUAGCCCAUUGCGCAAUACCCUGUGGCGGGCUGAGGUUCGCGCUUUAUGCAAGGAUGCUGGCAUAAUGGUCAUCAGUGACCCGUCUUGAAACACGGACCAAGGAGUCGUCUUCGUAUGCGAGUGUUCGGGUGUUAAACCCCUACGCGUAAUGAAAGUGAACGCAGGUGAGAGCCCUCCAGGGCGCAUCAUCGACCGAUCCUGAUGUUCUCGGAUGGAUUUGAGUAAGAGCAUACGGGGCCGGACCCGAAAGAAGGUGAACUAUGCCUGUAUAGGGUGAAGCCAGAGGAAACUCUGGUGGAGGCUCGCAGCGGUUCUGACGUGCAAAUCGAUCGUCAAAUAUGGGCAUGGGGGCGAAAGACUAAUC